rnacentral:piRNA from 1 species
UCUUUCUAUGAUGGUAAUCGC